UGCUGUUUAACGGUUGGGUGUCUCACCUUAGCAGCGGUAGCUAGGCCACACUCUAUGGCCUCUCUAUUCAGAGUGCUCUGAAAAAAGUAGGGGAGCUCCAACCAGACAGGGCAAUUUGCCAGAGAGCCAGCCAAUAGCGCUAAGCCAAGACGAGGUUAAACUAUUGUUUUGGCUUAGCAAGCAAGAGUGAACAAGGACAAAACAAGGAGGGACAAAAGAAUGGCACUUAUUCCACAGACAGCCUCCAAAAUCGCAGAGAAGAAAAUCCAACAGUAUCCCAGUAAGAUUAUCCCUAAAAA